AACACAUGCAAGUCGAGUGGGUAACAGUGAGAAGCUUGCUUCUUGCUGACGACCGGCGGACGGGUGAGUAAUGCAUAGCUUACCUGCCCCAUAGACGGGAAUAGCCACUGGAAACGGUGAUUAAUACCCGAUACUCCCUACGGGGGAAAUGCUUUUGCGCUAUGGGAUGGGGCUAUGUCCUAUCAGCUUGUUGGUGAGGUAAAAGCUCACCAAGGCUAUGACGGGUAGCUGGUCUGAGAGGAUGAUCAGCCACACUGGAACUGAGACACGGUCCAGACUCCUACGGGAGGCAGCAGUGGGGAAUAUUGCGCAAUGGGGGCAACCCUGACGCAGCAACGCCGCGUGGAGGAUGACGCAUUUCGGCGUGUAAACUCCUUUUAACAAGGAAGAUAAUGACGGUACUUGUUGAAUAAGCACCGGCUAACUCCGUGCCAGCAGCCGCGGUAAUACGGAGGGUGCGAGCGUUACUCGGAAUCACUGGGCGUAAAGCGCAUGUAGGCGGACUUACAAGUCAGGUGUGAAAGCCUAUGGCUCAACCAUAGAACUGCACUUGAAACUGUAAGUCUAGAGUUCGGGAGAGGCAGAUGGAAUUUCCGGUGUAGGGGUAAAAUCCGUAGAGAUCGGAAGGAAUACCUAUUGCGAAGGCGAUCUGCUGGAACGCAACUGACGCUCAGAUGCGAAAGCGUGGGUAGCAAACAGGAUUAGAUACCCUGGUAGUCCACGCCCUAAACGAUGGGUGCUAGUCGUUAGAGAGCCAGUCUCUUUAGUGAUGCAGCUAACGCAUUAAGCACCCCGCCUGGGGAGUACGGUCGCAAGAUUAAAACUCCAAGGAAUAGACGGGGACCCGCACAAGCGGUGGAGCAUGUGGUUUACUUCGAAGAUACGCGAAGAACCUUACCUG
rnacentral:rRNA from 1 species